rnacentral:SRP_RNA from 13 species
GCGAAGGAAUUUGGUGGGAAGCGCCUCAGGGCCGGAAG